rnacentral:rRNA from 1 species
UACGGAGGGUGCAAGCGUUAUCCGGAUUCCCUGGGUUUAAAGGGUGCGUAGGCGGCUUGAUAAGUCAGUGGUGAAAGCUCGCAGCUUAACUGUGAAACUGCCAUUGAAACUGCCAAGCUUGAGUACGAUUGAUGUGGGCGGAAUACAUCAUGUAGCGGUGAAAUGCUUAGAUAUGAUGUAGAACACCGAUUGCGAAGGCAGCUCACAAAAGCGCAACUGACGCUGAGGCACGAAAGCGUGGGGAGCAAACAGG